AUUGAACGCUGGCGGCAGGCCUAACACAUGCAAGUCGAACGAGUGGCGGACGGGUGAGUAAUGUCUGGGAAACUGCCCGAUGGAGGGGGAUAACUACUGGAAACGGUAGCUAAUACCGCAUACCAUCGGAUGUGCCCAGCUGGGAUUAGCGUGUAGGUGGGGUAACGGCUCACCUAGGCGACGGUCCCUAGCUGUUCUGAGAGGAUGCCCAGCCCCACUGGAACUGAGACACGGUCCAGACACCUACGGGAGGCAGCAGUGGGGAAUAUUGGACAAUGGGCGCAAGCCUGAUGCAGCCAUGCCGAGUGUAUGAAGAAUGCCUGCGGGUUGUAAAGUACUUUCAGCGGGGAGGCGUUACGCGCAGAAGAAGCACCGGCUAACUCCGUGCCAGCAGCCGCGGUAAUAC
rnacentral:rRNA from 1 species